UGUAUUUUAACAUGUAUAAGGAACCCAUUUUUGUCAAAAAUUAGGUUAAAAAAGUAUGGGAGUUUCUUAUACAUGGAUAGUAUUAUAAUCCCUUAGAAAACCUUUUCUCCAAAUUUUAAGUCCCCAAAAUUAGGGGAUUCCUUACACAUAUAUAUAUAUAUUAUACACACACACACACACAC